UUUAACCUUUUUAUUGCUCUAUUGCAGCGACGUCAAACUCCAGUCCUCAAGGGCAGGUGUACUGCAGCGUAUAGAUGUGCCUCUCCUGCGCCACACCUGAAUAAAAUAAUUAGUUCAUUAAGGCUCUGUAGAACUUAUCUACACAAGGAGGAGGUCAUUAAACCAUUUCAUUCCAGGGUUCUGUACAUGUGGCACAUCUAUACGCUGCAGGACAUGGAGGACUGGAGUUUGACACUUGUGCUCUUGGCACCUUUGCCAAUAAAGAUUGGUGAAUUGAAGUAGGCAUUUUACACAUCCACUAAAGAAAAUAGUUCCAAAGAACAUUUGAAUAAGGAGGACGACCGUAUUUAUUUAUUUUUGUUUGAGCACGUUUUUGAGUGUUACAUCGGUUUUACAUUUGUUAAACCGAUGUAACACUCAAAAUUAAUCUUGUGUUUCUUGGAAAACGUAAAAUUAACUGCGGAUGGAUAUGCGGUUUCACACUCCAACGUAUUCUCCUCAUCAGUCCGUUUGCGCGGAAUCUGCAGGUUGACUGUCCUACGAAACAAUCUACUUCAAGAGCAUCAACCUGUGAAGAUCGCCUUUGACGAUUUGAAAAAGGUUGCCAUGGUUACAGAAAUUGGAGGAGUGUCCAGCUGUGCGAGUCCUCAUGCCCCAUGAAUUGGCGGUCCAGUUCAGCCUUUUUGGACGACAUUGGAAACACAAGCUCCGUGACCCGCGUCUCUUUGAAGUUGUGUAUGGGACACUUAAAAGAAAUGGAUUCAUCUACAGAAUCACACAAAGAUAUGGAAAAGGCACUCUCAAAGUGGUUUACUGGAGCCUGUGACUGGUGGAAAUAGGAAAGUUAGAACAACUAGGGAGGCUGUCAGUUCAAACUCAGGUGGGCAGAUCUUUCAAGAUGGACAGUUUCAAUAAUGUAUGAGAGCUUUCUAAGUUUAAGCAUGCAUGUGACAUGAAGGUUAUUCUUAAAAAUGUUUGACAAAACGGUAUUGUGAAAGAUCUAUAUAGCUCUGGGUAUGUAUAUACAUAUAUAUCUACAGUACAGACCAAAAGUUUGGACUCACAGUUGUGUCCAAACUUUUGGUCUGCACUGUAUGUUAUAUAGAUGGUAUUUAUAUAACAUCUAUACAUUAAUAUAGAUCUUUACAGAUAUAUGUAGGUGUCUUUAUAUGUGUGCAGCUAUAGAUAUAUGUUCAUUAAUCUAUAUUUAUAGAUCUGUUUAUAUGUUUGUUAUAGUAAACUAGUUUCUGUUUUCAAAAUGCCAUGUGAAUAAUUGUUUUUUUAUUUUAUUUUUUUUAACAGCGCAUUUUUUGUUGUGGCACCAUUUGCUGAGUGUUAAUGAAGUUCUAAUAAUUGCUGUAGUGAGGUAAAAAAAUAACUUCUGACAAUAUUUCAAAUUACAAAAUAAAACGCCUUGACCAAAAUAAAUUUUUCAUCUCUUUUUUUUUUCUAUUGCAAGUUUUAUGCUAACACAUUUUAGGACCUUUGUUUUGUUGAUCAAGAUUGCAUAUCUAAGAAUGUAAUUCACUUCCAGGUUAGGUGAGAAAGACCCCAUUGUUCCUACAAGGAUAAGGCAUCUGGGUCCCACUGAAAACCCAGUUAAAGCCCAUUAAAAUAUACCUGGGCAAACCCAUGUGGGGCCACCAUGGAGACCUUGGGUAAACCCACUUGUUACCCAUAUUCUAGCCCAGAUCAGACCCAAUUGGGACCUAGGUAAAUAUUCCUCAAGGC